rnacentral:rRNA from 2 species
AGUUUGAUCCUGGCUCAGGACGAACGCUGGCGGCGUGCUUAACACAUGCAAGUCGAACGGAAAGGCCCUUCGGGGUACUCGAGUGGCGAACGGGUGAGUAACACGUGGGUGAUCUGCCCUGCACUCUGGGAUAAGCCUGGGAAACUGGGUCUAAUACCGGAUAGGACCACACACUUCAUGGUGAGUGGUGCAAAGCUUUUGCGGUGUGGGAUGAGCCCGCGGCCUAUCAGCUUGUUGGUGGGGUAAUGGCCCACCAAGGCGACGACGGGUAGCCGGCCUGAGAGGGUGACCGGCCACACUGGGACUGAGAUACGGCCCAGACUCCUACGGGAGGCAGCAGUGGGGAAUAUUGCACAAUGGGCGCAAGCCUGAUGCAGCGACGCCGCGUGAGGGAUGACGGCCUUCGGGUUGUAAACCUCUUUCAGUAGGGACGAAGCGAAAGUGACGGUACCUACAGAAGAAGGACCGGCCAACUACGUGCCAGCAGCCGCGGUAAUAC